GACGAACGCUGGCGGCGUGCUUAACACAUGCAAGUCGAACGGAAAGGCCCUGGUUUUGUGGGGUGCUCGAGUGGCGAACGGGUGAGUAACACGUGAGUAACCUGCCCUUGACUUUGGGAUAACUUCAGGAAACUGGGGCUAAUACCGGAUACGAGCUACUGCUGCAUGGUGGGGGUUGGAAAGGUUCGGCGGUUGGGGAUGGACUCGCGGCUUAUCAGCUUGUUGGUGGGGUAGUGGCUUACCAAGGCUUUGACGGGUAGCCGGCCUGAGAGGGUGACCGGCCACACUGGGACUGAGAUACGGCCCAGACUCCUACGGGAGGCAGCAGUGGGGAAUAUUGCACAAUGGGCGGAAGCCUGAUGCAGCAACGCCGCGUGCGGGAUGACGGCCUUCGGGUUGUAAACCGCUUUCGCCUGGGACGAAGCGAGAGUGACGGUAACGGGUAAAGAAGCACCGGCUAACUACGUG
rnacentral:rRNA from 1 species